rnacentral:rRNA from 1 species
CCUACGGGAGGCUGCAGUGAGGAAUAUUGGUCAAUGGACGCAAGUCUGAACCAGCCAUGCCGCGUGCAGGAAGACGGCGCUAUGAGUUGUAAACUGCUUUUGUACGAGGGUAAACGCAGAUACGUGUAUCUGUCUGAGAGUAUCGUACGAAUAAGGAUCGGCUAACUCCGUGCCAGCAGCCGCGGUAAUACGGAGGAUGCAAGCGUUAUCCGGAUUUAUUGGGUUUAAAGGGUGCGUAGGCGGACGGAUAAGUUAGCGGUGAAAUCCCGAGGCUCAACCUCGGAAGUGCCUUUGAAACUGGUCGGCUAGAGAGGAGGUGCGGUAGGCGGAAUGUAUGGUGUAGCGGGGAAAUGCUUAGAGAUCAUACAGAACACCGAUUGCGAAGGCAGCUUACCAGG